UUUUUGGAGAGUUUGAUCCUGGCUCAGGAUGAACGCUGGCGGCGUGCCUAAUACAUGCAAGUCGAGCGGCAGCGCGGUCUUCGGACUGGCGGCGAGCGGCGGACGGGUGAGUAACGCGUAGGAAUGUACCCCAAAGUGAGGGAUAAGCUCAAGAAAUUGAGUCUAAUACCGCAUGUGGUCUGAAGACAAUCGUCUUCGGAUUAAAGCUUUAAGCGCUAUGGGAACAGCCUGCGUAGGAUUAGCUUGUUGGUGAGGUAAUGGCUCACCAAGGCGACGAUCCUUAGCUGGUCUGAGAGGAUGAUCAGCCACACUGGAACUGAGACACGGUCCAGACUCCUACGGGAGGCAGCAGUAAGGAAUCUUCCACAAUGGGCGAAAGCCUGAUGGAGCAACGCCGCGUGCAGGAUGAAGGCUUUCGAGUCGUAAACUGCUUUUAUUAGUGAGGAAUAUGACGGUAGCUAAUGAAUAAGGGUCUGCUAACUACGUGCCAGCAGCCGCGGUCAUACGUGGGACCCGAGCGUUAUCCGGAUUGACUGGGCGUAAAGCGUUGCGUAGGCGGUCUGUUAAGCGAAUAGUGAAACCUGGUGGCUCAACCAUUCAGACUAUUAUUCGAACUGGCAGACUAGAGAACAGUAGAGGUACCUGGAAUUUCUAGUGUAGGGGUAAUAUCCGUAGAUACUAGAAGGAACACCAAUGGCGUAGGCAGGGUACUGGGCUGUUUCUGACGCUCAGGCACGAAAGCGUGGGGAGCGAACGGGAUUAGAUACCCCGGUAGUCCACGCCGUAAACGAUGGAUGCUAGCAGUGUGCCGUAUCGACCCGGUGCGUUGCGAAGUUAACGCGUUAAGCAUCCCGCCUGGGGAGUACGAUCGCAAGAUUAAAACUCAAAGGAAUUGACGGGGACCCGCACAAGCGGAGGAGCGUGUUGUUUAAUCGGAUGGUAAGCCUAGAACCUUACCAGGGUUUGACAUCCUAGGAAUUAUGUCGAAAGACGUGAGUGCCGCAAGGAACCUAGUGACAGGUGUUGCAUGGCCGUCGUCAGCUCGUGUCGUGAGAUGUUUGGUUAAGUCCAUCAACGAGCGCAACCCUUAUGGUUAGUUGGAUUUUUCUAGCCAGACUGCCUCGGUAACGGGGAGGAAGGAGGGGAUGAUGUCAGGUCGGUAUUACCCUUACACCCUGGGCUACAAACGCGCUACAAUGGCCGGUACAAUGGGCAGCCAAGUCGUGAGACGGAGCAAAUCCCAUCAAAGCCGGUCCCAGUUCGGAUAAGAGGCUGAAACUCGCCUCUUUGAAGUCGGAUUCGCUAGUAAUCGCAGGUCAGCACACUGCGGUGAAUACGUUCCCGGGUCUUGUACACACCGCCCGUCAAGCCAUGAAAGUCACCAAUGCCCGAAGUCUGAACUUGUUUCGGCCUAAGGCAGGGGGGAUGAUUGGGGUUAAGUCGUAACAAGGUAUCCGUAGCGGAAGCUGCGGAUGGAUUACCUCCUUU
rnacentral:rRNA from 1 species